AUGGAGGGUCUCUAUGGAGGGUCUUUACAGAGGAUAUCUACAGAGGGUCUCUAUGGAGGGUCUAUUUGGAGGGUCUAUUUGGAGGGUCUUUACGGAGGAUCUCUACAGAGGGUCUCUACAGAGGGUCUCUAUGGUGGGUCUCUAUGGAGGGUCUUUACGGAAGAUCUCUACAGAGGGUCUCUAUGGAGGGUCUCUAUGGAGGGUCUAUUUGGAGGGUCUAUAUGAAGGGUCUUUACGGAGGAUCUCUACAGAGGGUCUCUAUGGAGGGUCUUUAUGAAGGGUCUUUACGGAGGAUCUCUACAGAGGGUCUCUACGGAGGGUCUCUAUGGAGGGUCUAUAUGGAGGGUCUAUAUGGAGGGUCUAUAUGAAGGGUCUUUACAGAGGAUCUCUACAGAGGGUCUCUAUAGGUCUCUACGGAGGGUCUCUACAGGUCUCUAGAAUGGAAUAGAAUGACACAAUUAAUCCCCAAGGGGAAAUUCAGAUGUUAAAACAGCUGAAUUUACAAUACAUAAAUACACAAAUACAUAAAUACAAGAUAAAUAAUACGGAUACAAAGAAAUAUUCAGACAAGAAAAUUGCAGCAAUAAAUAGUCUAUGCAGAAGUCCUGAUAUACAGGUGGAGAAAUAAGACCUAAAGCAGCUGAGGUGGUAGUUUAUAUAAAUAAGUUAAGUGAGAGGUGUUGACAGGGGGGUAAUGGUAGAGGGAGUAGUGUUUGUGUUUUGGGGAUCACUAACUGGAGAUGGGGGAGGUGGUGAGGGCAUUUGGGUAGCCUAUUGCACACGCUGAAUGACCAGAGUCUCCUCAGAAAGAACAACCUACCUUGUUCUUUCUUAUAGAGAGCCUCUGUAUUACUAGACCAGUCCAGUUUGUUGUUGAGAUGCACUCCCAGGAACCUUUAUGAGUCCACCACCUCAACUGCCUCCCCCUGGAUGGUAACGGAGAUCGGGGGCUUCUUGCGUCGUAAGUGAUUGUUGUCACACCAUCAGAGGAAGCUCUCUACUACACCUCUGAACUCCUCAUCGUUGUCCUCCAUGAUACAGCCGACAUUUUCUGAGUCAUCUGAGAACUUCUGCAGAUGGCACGUUUUGGAGGAGAAGCGGAAGUCAGAGGUGUAGAUAGUGAAAAGAAAUGGUGACAGUACGGUUCCUUGGGGUGUUCCUGUGCUGCUCAACACCACAUCUGAUCUGCAGUCUUGCCAACGAACCAACUGUGGUUGAUCAAUGAGGUAGUCUGUUAUCCAGGCAACAACAUCAUUGUCCACCUGGAUUGCCAUGAGAUUGUCAGCCAGCAGGGGAGUCUGGAUGGUACUAAAGGCAUUAGAGAAGUCAAAAAACAUGACUCUCAAUGUACCUCUGGGCCUUUCCAGGUGAGAAUACACCCGAUGGAGCAGGUCGAUGAUGGCAUCCUCUACGCCGAUGUACGCCUGGUAUGCAAACUGCAGAGGGCUGAAGUCACACACCAUGGGCCUCUAUGGAGGGUCUCUACAGAGGGUCUCCAUGGGUCUCUACAGAGGGUCUCUAAUGAGGGACUCUGCUGCGGGUGAAGUGUCUCUACAGAGGGUCUCUACUGGUCUCUACAGAGGGUCUCUACAGAGGGUCUCUUCAGGUCUCUACGGGUCUCUACAGAGGGUCUCUACAGAGGGACUCUGCUGCGGGUGAAUUGUCUCUACAGAGGGUCUCUUCAGGUCUCUAUAGAGGGUCUCUACGGGUCUCUACAGAUAUUUACAGACAGUCUUCACAGAGUGUCUCUACAGAGGGUCUCUAUGAAGGGUUUCUGCAGAGGGACUCUACAGGUAUUUAUGGAGGAUCUGUACUUGCUUUAAGGGUGUGUGUGUGUGUGUGUAUGGGUGGGUGUGUGUGUGUGUGUGUGGGUGUGGGUGUGUGUGUGUGUGUAUGGGUGUGUGGGUGUGUUGACAUUUAGUAAAACUUUGACUUGUCUAUCCUGUCAUGAAUCUGUCACCACAAUGUGCAUGAUCCCAAUAUGAUUGUUAAAUCAAUGCAUUUUUUUAUUCCUGUUUCCAAUACUGUUAAGAACAGCCACCAUUUAGUGAAAUCCUUUCAUGUGAGCUUAAUGGCAUUGCUGACUCCAGGCAUGUUCCGUCUGAGCGGGCUGGGGGGUUGUCAUGGAAACUGAACAUGAAACGCUUCAGAUGUAGUUUAGGUCUGAUUGUCACCCUUCUAACACCCACGCCCGCUCAUACAAAAGCACAGUUACACAGGUGCAACUCAGAGCAAACAGACAGGCAGACAGACAGGUUAUCGGACCCCUUUUCCUCCCCUUAUUAAUAGUUGGGCUGUGGGAAAGGUUUCCCUGGAAACCAGGGGCCGGCCUUAUUAUUAUACGGUUACCUGGAAAUGUUCCCUAAUUGGACAGGAGGCAGACAUCUUGGGCCAGGGGGCAUGGCGUUUCUACAGGAUGGAGAACAGAACAACAGGCAGUAUUUCCCUAGAAAAGGACAGAGGAUUAAUAAUGGAGAGAGACAAAAAAAGUUCCCUGUUAACAGGAGUUAGAUGACCAGGAGGAAAGGAGAGGCAAGAGGAGGCGAAUUGGGGGAAGGGGAUAUGAGGGGAGGAGAGGGGGAGGCUGUGUUGAGGGACAUUUUCAGAAACACUCUCCAAUAACAUUGGUCGGUCUGUCUGUCUCUCUCUCCCAGCCUGUUUGUCUGUCUGUCUGUCUCUCUCUGCCUGUCUCCCAGCCUGUCUGUCUCUGUCUGACCACCAGGUGGGGGUCUCCAGGGAGCUGUAACGUCACACCCCCAGACACUCUUGGGUAGCUACAUCUGGUGACAACUGUUGGCCUGACACUGGUUGAUGUGCUGAAUACUCAUUUGUUUGGUUGAUUGGCUGUUUGUGUUGAUGUGGUGUUUCUAAAGCAUCCCAUUUCUGAAAGUGGAUAUGGCCCAUUUCUGUAAAAAUAACUAACUACAUCCCCUGUGUAUGUUCAUCAAUGAUAAUGAAAGAGCCCAAAGAGUUGUGUAACAUCUCCAGCUGUCAGCGUAAUCUGGACCAGAGGAACUGCAGUCAGAGUUGAAAGAGACCAGAGCUACUUUGAGUGAAGAACUAGAAUACCAUGGAGUUCAGACCAUCUAAAACCAAUCAACACAUCCUUUAGUGCUUCUGACUGGCUUCAUUACCCUGCAGUUGUGUUGCAUUUCCCUGAACAACAGCUUCUUUGAAAGGCAACAAGUAAUCUUGGAUUAAACUUCAUUGAGUGGAAACAGGCCUGUUUCAGACCGUCAGAGGAGGGGGAGGUGAGCGGGGGAGGAGCGACGCUGGGGGCUGAGGCUAGCCGCUUCUCACUCGCUGUUUGACCUUCAGAUGAUGACAUGGCCUGGAGUGGAGGGAGGGUGACAAAAGUUGGGAGGGAGUGGAACAGGUUCUUAAAGCAACAUGAGUCCUAUUCAAGACACAAGCCUCAAGUCUUAGCCUUCAAGCCUUGAGUCAAGUCCCAAAUAACGAUGAUCAAGUCUCAAGUCAAGUCCCAAGUUUCACAGCUCAGUUCAAGUCAAGACAAGUCAAGUCCCACAUUUUUGCUUUCAAGUCUUGAAGUCAAUGGUUAAGAAAAGUUUUGUUAUAUGAUGUGGAUGAUGAAAUAUUUUUUGUUGUUGAAUUUUCCAUUAGCUAAAAGGAAACAAAUAUUAUUCAGUAGGUUGCCUUUAUGUAUUUAUGUUGUCAACUGUCUUUAUGUAUUUAGUUAAAAUAUAUGUUUUAAUAGUAAGCCUAUUUAAGGAUGUUAAAAACAAAAAAAAAAUGCUGUCCAUGUUGAAAUAAAAUUAUAGUGAGAGCCAUUGCAUGCUAAUACAUUUGAGAAUUUUACCAGAAAUACUUAGCUAAAGAAAUGAGGAGAUACCAUGGGAAUCUCUUUGGUAAAUGGGAAUUGAGGAACAUACUGUAUAACCCUCCAUGAAUCAAACUGUUGUUGCUAAACUAAUCACCAGGAAAAUCCUUGAAUACAAUCUAGCUAGCAUUUUAGCACACCCCUGCCAUAAUGUUUUUCUUACCUAUCUUUGUGGGAUCUCAGGAGUCUCAUGAAGUUAGAUGUUGUCACUCAUCAAACAUUUAAGUGUUUCAUGUUUUGCACACUGCUGUCAUUUUCCUGCACACCUCGAAAAAGAUGCCAUGAAAGCAAGUUCUCAAUCCCUUCCGAAUUGGCGACCUGAAGCUGACAGCUGAACGCUAGGUCUAGGUUGAGUGACAUUGAGAAAAGUGAUACUAGAGUGAAGUAUUGUUGUGUUGUCCCGCCCACCCUCAGUUGAGAACAGUAAACACAAGGACUUUGAGUGUAGAGUGUUGAGAGCUGAGAGAUGAGAGAGGAUUGAGGAUUGAGGAUUGAGAGGAAGGUGCUGGGAAAAUCUCUCUCGAGUCAAACAGCUGAACAAAAAUUAUUGUGGGUUAUAAGGAAGGGUAGUACUGGGCUAGAGGUUACAGUGAGGUUAGAACAGGGAUAGUGGUUAAGGCAAGGUUAGUACUGGGCUAGGGGUUAAGGUGAAGUUAGUACUGGGCUAGGGGUUAAGGUGAAGUUAGUACUGGGCUAGGGGUUAAGGCAAGGUUAGUACUGGGCUAGGGGUUAAGGUGAAGUUAGUACUGGGCUAGGGGUUAAGGUGAAGUUAGUACUGGGCUAGGGGUUAAGGCAAGGUUAGUACUGGGCUAGGGGUUAAGGCAAGGUUAGUACUGGGCUAGGGGUUAAGGUGAAGUUAGUACUGGGCUAGGGGUUAAGGUGAAGUUAGUACUGGGCUAGGGGUUAAGGUGAAGUUAGUACUGGGCUAGGGGUUAAGGCAAGGUUAGUACUGGGCUAGGGGUUAAGGUGAAGUUAGUACUGGGCUAGGGGUUAAGGUGAAGUUAGUACUGAGCUAGGGGUUAAGGCAAGGUUAGUACUGGGCUAGGGGUUAAGGUGAAGUUAGUACUGGGCUAGGGGUUAAGGCAAGGUUAGUACUGGGCUAGGGGUUAAGGUGAAGUUAGUACUGGGCUAGGGGUUAAGGUGAAGUUAGUACUGGGCUAGGGGUUAAGGCAAGGUUAGUACUGGGCUAGGGGUUAAGGUGAAGUUAGUACUGGGCUAGGGGUUAAGGUGAAGUUAGUACUGGGCUAAGGGGUUAAGGUGAAGUUAGUACUGGGCUAGGGGUUAAGGUGAAGUUAGUACUGGGCUAGGGGUUAAGGUGAAGUUAGUACUGGGCUAGGCGUUAAGGGGAAAGAAGUACUGAGACCGGUGAUCAAGGGGGAUUUAAUUUCUGGAUGUAGGAUUUUGGAGUUCUGUAACAGCAACUAAAUUCACCUGGAAUAAUUAGCUGUGCUAUUUACACACGCUUACACUACAGCUUGUGAUAAUUAAUUCACCUCAACACUGCUAAAGCUUUAGUGACGGGCCUUGCUCAGUCUCUAGAGGCUGAUUGUGACCUCUGAGCCAAUCAGUAAAGAGGCGAAGAUAAUGCAGCAAAAGUCAAUAAUGGAGGGGCACUUUAUAUUUCUUGUACACAUUGUUCCCUGCUGAAUUGGAAUGACUAGCAAUGGAAGAAGGUGGCCUGGUCUGAUGAAUCAUGUUUUCUUUUACAUCACAUGGCCGG